rnacentral:rRNA from 1 species
UACGGGGGGGGCAAGCGUUGUUCGGAAUUACUGGGCGUAAAGGGCUCGUAGGCGGCCAAGUAAGUCAGACGUGAAAUCCCUCGGCUUAACCGGGGAACUGCGUCUGAUACUGGAUGGCUUGAGUUUGGGAGAGGGAUGCGGAAUUCCAGGUGUAGCGGUGAAAUGCGUAGAUAUCUGGAGGAACACCGGUGGCGAAGGCGGCAUCCUUGACCAACACUGACGCUGAGGAGCGAAAGCCAGGGGAGCAAACGGG